CCGGAAUAGCUCAGUUGGUAGAGCAGAGGAC
rnacentral:tRNA from 1 species